rnacentral:tRNA from 1 species
AAAGUAAAAAAUAAAUAUAUUAUAAAUUUCUAAAUUAUGUAUUUAUGUUUUUAUCUGUUCAGUAUAUAUUAUAUUGUAGUUAUUGUAGUGUUAAAAAGUUACGGUAAUGACACGUUUAUAAAUGUAAAAACAAGAAAAUUAAUAAAAAAUAUAAAUUAACUUAUUAAAAUAAUUUAAUUUUAACAUAAGUAUUGUUAUUGUUUUA